GAGGAGGGUGCUCCAGCUCUGCCAUCCCAAGCUGUGCCUUUGAUUCCACCUGAGUGCUGUGGGUGAAGAGAUGCCAUGUUGAACAGUGAGUUUUAUUGUAACAUAACAAAUGGAUCCACUCACGCUUUUCUCGCUCGAGGCACAGAACAAACACAGGCUGAGAAGAUGAAGAAGCUGCAGGUGAGCACCGGAGUCACCCAGACCCCGGCACCUGAAAUACAGAGCACCC